CCUACGGGAGGCAGCAGUGGGGAAUAUUGCACAAUGGGGGAAACCCUGAUGCAGCAACGCCGCGUGAGUGAAGAAGUAUUUCGGUUUGUACAGCUCUAUCAUCAGGGAAGCACAUGACGGUACCUGACUACUAAGCCCCGGCUAACUACGAGCCAUCAGCCGCUGUAAUCCGUAGGGGGCAAGCAGUAACCUGCUUUACUGGGGGUAAAGGGUGCGUAUACGGGCUAAUAAGUCAGAUGUGAAAUCCAAUGGCUGAACUCUAGAACUGCUUUUGAAACUGUCGCGCUGGAGUGUAGGAGAGGUAAGCGGAAUUCCUAGUGUAGCGGUGAAAUGCGUAGAGAUUAGGAGGAACACCAGUGGCGAAGGCGGCUUACUGGACUAUAACUGACGUUGAGGCACGAAAGCGUGGGGAGCAAACAGGAUUAGAUACCCCAGUAGUC
rnacentral:rRNA from 1 species